CGGAGAUAGCUGGUUCUCCUCGAAAUAGCUUUAGGGCUAGCCUCAUGAGAGUCUUAUGGAGGUAGAGCACUGAAUUGCCUAGGGGGCGUCAAAGCUUACCAAAGCAUAUCAAACUCCGAAUGCCAUCAAGAUGAUUCAUGGGAGUCAGACCAUACGAGAUAAGUUGGAUGGUCAAAAGGGAAAGAGCCCAGACCUACAGCUAAGGUCCCAAAGUACGUGUUAAGUGGAAAAGGAUGUGGGGAUUCUAAGACAACUAGGACGUUGGCUUAGAAGCAGCCAUUCAUUGAAAGAGUGCGUAAUAGCUCACUAGUCGAGAGUCCCUGCGCCGAAAAUGUCCGGGGCUGAAACACGACACCGAAGCUUAGGAAUGUGUAAACAUUGGUAGAGGAGCAUUGCUGGCGGGAUGAAGCCAUACCGUAAGGAGUGGUGGACUGCUAGGAAGAGAGAAUGCCGGAAUGAGUAGCGAGAUGAAGGUGAGAAUCCUUCAGGCCGAAUAUCUAAGGUUUCCAGAGUAAAGCUGAUCUGCUCUGGGUAAGUCGGGACCUAAGGCGAGGUCGAAAGACGUAGUCGAUGGAUAACAGGUUGAAAUUCCUGUACCGCAUAUAAACAGAACUGUGGGGACACAGACAGGGAAUGGAAUCCGGGAGUGGAUAUCCCGGUGCAAGCGAGGUAGGAGUGCUGUUGGCAAAUCCGCAGCACGAUCUGAAGACGUGACGCGUACCGAACAUAAGUAGGGAAGUCCAGGCCCCUGGCUGUCAAGAAAAGCCGCUAUCGUUUUAUAUGUGCCCGUACCGCAAACCGACACAGGUGGAUGAGGAGAGAAUCCUAAGGCCGACGGGAGAAGUAUUGUUAAGGAACUCGGCAAAAUGACUCCGUAACUUCGGGAGAAGGAGUGCCAUGAGAGUGGCCGCAGAGAAAUGGCCCAAGCAACUGUUUAGCAAAAACACAGGUCUAUGCAAAACCGCAAGGUGAAGUAUAUGGGCUGACGCCUGCCCGGUGCUGGAAGGUUAAGGGGAGAGGUUAGCGCAAGCGAAGCUUUGAACUUAAGCCCCAGUAAACGGCGGCCGUAACUAUAACGGUCCUAAGGUAGCGAAAUUCCUUGUCGGGUAAGUUCCGACCCGCACGAAAGGCGUAAUGAUUUGGGCACUGUCUCAACGAUACACCCGGUGAAAUUGAAAUACCAGUGAAGAUGCUGGUUACCUGCGCCAGGACGGAAAGACCCCAUGGAGCUUUACUCCAGUUUGAUACUGGGAUUCGGCAUGGUAUGUACAGGAUAGGUGGGAGACUGAGAAGGUAUGACGUCAGUUGUACCGGAGUCGCUGUUGGGAUACCACCCUUACCAUGUUGGAUUUCUAACCUGUGGCCGUAAGCCGGUCAGGGGACAAUGUCAGGCGGGGAGUUUGACUGGGGCGGUCGCCUCCGAAAGGGUAUCGGAGGCGCUCAAAGGUUCCCUCAGAAUGGUUGGAAACCAUUCGAAGAGUGCAAAGGCAGAAGGGAGCUUGACUGUGACACCGACGGGUGGAGCAGGUACGAAAGUAGGACUUAGUGAUCCGGUGGUAUAAAGUGGGAUUGCCAUCGCUCAACGGAUAAAAGCUACCCUGGGGAUAACAGGCUUAUCACUCCCAAGAGUUCACAUCGACGGAGUGGUUUGGCACCUCGAUGUCGGCUCAUCGCAUCCUGGAGCUGGAGCAGGUUCCAAGGGUUGGGCUGUUCGCCCAUUAAAGCGGUACGCGAGCUGGGUUCAGAACGU
rnacentral:rRNA from 1 species